AUUGAACGCUGGCGGCAGGCUUAACACAUGCAAGUCGAGCGGGGGAGGUUGCUUCGGUAACUGACCUAGCGGCGGACGGGUGAGUAAUGCUUAGGAAUCUGCCUAUUAGUGGGGGACAACAUUCCGAAAGGGAUGCUAAUACCGCAUACACCCUACGGGGGAAAGCAGGGGAUCUUCGGACCUUGCGCUAAUAGAUGAGCCUAAGUCGGAUUAGCUAGUUGGUGGGGUAAAGGCCUACCAAGGCGACGAUCUGUAGCGGGUCUGAGAGGAUGAUCCGCCACACUGGGACCGAGACACGGCCCAGACUCCUACGGGAGGCAGCAGUGGGGAAUAUUGGACAAUGGGCGGAAGCCUGAUCCAGCCAUGCCGCGUGUGUGAAGAAGGCCUUUUGGUUGUAAAGCACUUUAAGCGAGGAGGAGGCUACUUAGAUUAAUACUCUAGGAUAGUGGACGUUACUCGCAGAAUAAGCACCGGCUAACUCUGUGCCAGCAGCCGCAGUAAUAC
rnacentral:rRNA from 1 species